UUUAUCUGUGGAUUAGAAGAUAUUUUUCUCUCUCUCUCAUAAAAUCAUCGUCGCAAUUGAUUUUACUUUUAUUUGUGUGACAUUUGUUUUCUCUUCUGAUUGUACUUGAUAUUAGAUAAUCUCUUUUCUUUUUUUCUACAAUAAAUUCUUCCCUGCUAAUUGAAAAUCUUCAGAUUAUCAUCAUUCAGCAACCAUUUCAUCAGCUGCUUUUCUUGAUUCAUUUCUCUUGUGAGAGCGAUUUACAACCUUGAUGUCAACGAUGGAUAGUAAACGAGUACUAAUUGAUGAAACGUUAAAAAAUAGUAGUCAGGGUAUUCCUAGUCUACAACCAAAGUCGUCAAUGCACCUCGGCGAGGGCCCACUGUGGUGCUCCUGAUGCGCCCCACAACACUGCUAACAACAUCACCCUAAUCGAAAUAGAGAUGCGC